AGCAGCCGCGGUAAUUCCAGCUCCAAUAGCGUAUAUUAAAGUUGUUGCAGUUAAAAAGCUCGUAGUUGAAUUUCGGGGUCAGUAGGCUGGUCGUGCCACGGGUAUGUACUGGUCUCACUGAUUCCUCCUUCCUGAUGAACCGUAAUGCCAUUAAUUUGGUGUUGCGGGGAAUCUGGACUGUUACUUUGAAAAAAUUAGAGUGUUUAAAGCAGGCUAACGCUUGAAUACAUUAGCAUGGAAUAAUGAAAUAGGACGAUCGAUCCUAUUUUGUUGGUUUCUAGGAUUGACGUAAUGAUUAAUAGGGAUAGUUGGGGGCAUUAGUAUUCAAUUGUCAGAGGUGAAAUUCUUGGAUUUAUUGAAGACUAACUACUGCGAAAGCAUUUGCCAAGGAUGUUUUCAUUAAUCAAGAACGAAAGUUAGGGGAUCGAAGACGAUCAGAUACCGUCGUAGUCUUAACCAUAAACUAUGCCGACUAGGGAUCGGAUGAUGUUAAUUUUUUAAUGACUCAUUCGGCGCCG
rnacentral:rRNA from 1 species